UACAGAGGGUGCGAGCGUUAUUCGGAUUUACUGGGCGUAAAGCGUGCGUAGGUGGUUUGAUAAGUCUGAUGUGAAAUCCCACGGCUCAACCGUGGACGUGCAUUGGAUACUGUCAGACUGGAGUACAGGAGGGGUGAGCGGAAUUCCAGGUGGAGAGGUGAAAUUCGUAGAUAUCUGGAGGAACAACGGUGGCGAAGGCGGCUCACUGGACUGUAACUGACACUUUGGCACGAAAGCGUGGGGAUCAAACAGG
rnacentral:rRNA from 1 species